rnacentral:rRNA from 1 species
GACGAACGCUGGCGGCGUGCUUAACACAUGCAAGUCGAACGCUGAAGCCUGGCUUUUGUUGGGUGGAUGAGUGGCGAACGGGUGAGUAACACGUGAGUAACCUGCCCUCUUCUUUGGGAUAACGCCCGGAAACGGGUGCUAAUACUGGAUAUUCACUUGCCUUCGCAUGGGGGUGGGUGGAAAGGGUUUUUUCUGGUGGGGGAUGGGCUCGCGGCCUAUCAGCUUGUUGGUGGGGUGAUGGCUUACCAAGGCUUUGACGGGUAGCCGGCCUGAGAGGGUGACCGGUCACAUUGGGACUGAGAUACGGCCCAGACUCCUACGGGAGGCAGCAGUGGGGAAUAUUGCACAAUGGGCGCAAGCCUGAUGCAGCGACGCCGCGUGAGGGAUGGAGGCCUUCGGGUUGUGAACCUCUUUCGCUCAUGGUCAAGCCGCAACUCAUG